CAGGACGAACGCUGGCGGCGUGCUUAACACAUGCAAGUCGAACGGAGAAUUUAUUUCGGUAAAUUCUUAGUGGCGAACGGGUGAGUAACGCGUAGGCAACCUGCCCUCCAGUUGGGGACAACAUUCCGAAAGGAAUGCUAAUACCGAAUGUGAUCCCUUUUCCGCAUGGAGAAGGGAUGAAAGAUGGCCUCUAUUUAUAAGCUAUCGCUGGAAGAUGGGCCUGCGUCUGAUUAGCUAGUUGGUGGGGUAACGGCUCACCAAGGCGAUGAUCAGUAGCCGGUCUGAGAGGAUGAACGGCCACAUUGGGACUGAGACACGGCCCAAACUCCUACGGGAGGCAGCAGUGGGGAAUCUUCCGCAAUGGACGAAAGUCUGACGGAGCAACGCCGCGUGAGUGAUGAAGGUCUUCGGAUUGUAAAACUCUGUUGUCAGGGACGAAUGUGCGAACGUUGAAUAAGCGUUUGUAUUGACGGUACCUGACGAGGAAGCCACGGCUAACUACGUGCCAGCAGCCGCGGUAAUACGUAGGUGGCAAGCGUUGUCCGGAAUUAUUGGGCGUAAAGAGCAUGUAGGCGGGCUUUUAAGUCCGACGUGAAAAUGCGGGGCUUAACCCCGUAUGGCGUUGGAUACUGGAAGUCUUGAGUGCAGGAGAGGAAAGGGGAAUUCCCAGUGUAGCGGUGAAAUGCGUAGAUAUUGGGAGGAACACCAGUGGCGAAGGCGCCUUUCUGGACUGUGUCUGACGCUGAGAUGCGAAAGCCAGGGUAGCAAACGGGAUUAGAUACCCCGGUAGUCCUGGCCGUAAACGAUGGGUACUAGGUGUAGGAGGUAUCGACCCCUUCUGUGCCGGAGUUAACGCAAUAAGUAC
rnacentral:rRNA from 1 species